GGAGGUCCGAACCCACGAGCGUUGAAAAGCUCGGGGAUGACUUGUGGGUAGCGGUGAAAUUCCAAUCGAGCCCGGAGAUAGCUGGUUCUCCCCGAAAUAGCUUUAGGGCUAGCCUCAAGGUGAGAGAUACGGAGGUAGAGCACUGAAUGUCCUAGGGGGUAUUGCACCUACCGAAGACUAUCAAACUCCGAAUGCCGUCAUCUUAUACUUGGGAGUCAGACUGUGGGUGAUAAGAUUCAUAGUCGAAAGGGCAACAGCCCAGAUCGUCAGCUAAGGUCCCUAAAUGUAAGUUAAGUGGUAAAGGAUGUGGGAUUGCACAGACAACCAGGAUGUUGGCUUAGAAGCAGCCACUCAUUCAAAGAGUGCGUAAUAGCUCACUGGUCGAGUGAUCCUGCGCCGAAGAUUUCCGGGGCUAAAACUUACUACCGAAGCUACGGCAUCAGUAAUGAUGGGUAGGGGAGCUUCCCAUACGGGUUGAAGCAUGACCGUAAGGACAUGUGGACAGUAUGGGAGUGAGAAUGUUGGCAUGAGUAGCGAGAUGUGGGUGAGAAUCCCACAGGCCGUAAACCCAAGGUUUCCAGGGGAAGGUUCGUCCGCCCUGGGUUAGUCGGGACCUAAGCUGAGGCCGAAAGGCGUAGGUGAUGGACAACAGGUUGAUAUUCCUGUACUACCGAUAACCGUUUGAGAGAAGGGAUGACACAGUAGGAUAAGCUAAGCACACUGUUGGUUAUGUGUGCCCAAGCAUUGAGGCAGUCAAAGUAGGCAAAUCCGCUUUGAUAAUGCUGGGAUGUGAUGGGGAGCGAAAUUUAGUAGCGAAGUAGCUGAUUUCACACUGUCAAGAAAAGUCUCUAUCGAGGUUAAAGGUACCCGUACCGCAAACCGACACAGGUGGGUGAGGAGAGUAUCCUAAGGCCAGCGAGAGAACUGUUGUUAAGGAACUCGGCAAAAUGACCCCGUAACUUAGGGAUAAGGGGUGCCACCAUCAGGUGGCCGCAGAGAAUAGGCCCAAGCGACUGUUUACCAAAAACAUAGGUUUCUGCUAAGUCGCAAGACGAUGUAUAGGAGCUGACGCCUGCCCGGUGCUGGAAGGUUAAGGGGAUCUGUUAGAG
rnacentral:rRNA from 1 species